UCCAUCCCUGAACUGGAGGGCUCGGCUAGCACCCUUUUAGCAGGGUCCUCUGGCCUUACCAGUACCCAUUGAGGCUGCGGGGUCUGGUUGCGGUGUCUGCUCCCUCUUUGGAGAGGCUCUCUGCUUCGUACUGCAUCCUCCUUCUCCGUCUGCGUUCCACUUGCAGGGUGCAGCCAUAUUGGGCGCAGUCCCAGGAGCAUCACUUCAGGCGGCUUUGGCGCACCUCUGCAAGCCAAGUGACGUCCUUUGGUGAAAUGUCCGGCGAGAGGGCACGCUGGAAUGCCUGGUGCGGUGUGGAUGGCCUAUCAAUGCAGAAGUCCCGAUUAGGAAUGGACUCGCAUUAUCCAUAUCGGGAUUCUCCUGUAGGAUGGAGUCCCAGAAGAGGGAGGAGCAGACUGUCGGCAGAAGGGGGCAGGACUAUUAAGAGGUAUAUAUGGACAUCCUAGAUGUGUGCUGUCAUGUCACACUCCUGGAAAACAAUUUACUGGUUCCUACAAUAUAGGAUCCACUCAGUGGAUAUCUUCUAUAUAAGAUCCUU